rnacentral:rRNA from 1 species
UACGUAGGUGGCAAGCGUUGUCCGGAUUUACUGGGCGUAAAGAGCGCGCAGGCGGUCGAUCAAGUCGCGUGUGAAAGCCCCCGGCUCAACUGGGGAGGGUCACGCGAUACUGACCGACUCGAAGGCAGGAGAGGGUAGUGGAAUUCCCGGUGUAGUGGUGAAAUGCGUAGAUAUCGGGAGAACACCAGUGGCGAAGGCGACUACCUGGCCUGUUCUUGACGCUGAGGCGCGAAAGCUAGGGGAGCAAACGGGG